AUUGAACGCUGGCGGCAUGCCUUACACAUGCAAGUCGAACGGUAACGGGCCUUCGGGUGCCGACGAGUGGCGAACGGGUGAGUAAUGUAUCGGAACGUACCUUUCAGUAGGGGAUAACGUAGCGAAAGUUACGCUAAUACCGCAUAUUCUGUGCGCAGGAAAGCAGGGGAUCGCAAGACCUUGCGCUGAUUGAGCGGCAGAUAUCAGAUUAGCUAGUUGGUGAGGUAAAGGGUCACCAAGGCGACGAUCUGUAGCGGGUCUGAGAGGAUGAUCCGCCACACUGGAACUGAGACACGGUCCAGACUCCUACGGGAGGCAGCAGUGGGGAAUUUUGGACAAUGGGGGCAACCCUGAUCCAGCCAUGCCGCGUGAGUGAAGAAGGCCUUCGGGUUGUAAGGCUCUUUCGGCCGGGAAGAAAUCGUAUCAGCUAAUACCUGGUGCGGAUGACGGUACCGGCAUAAGAAGCACCGGCUAACUACGUGCCAGCAGCCGCAGUAACAC
rnacentral:rRNA from 1 species